ACGUGGUGGCUCUGAUCUGGAAGGCCAUCCAGCAGAGAGGGGACUUUGAUAUUGACAUUGUGGCUGUGGUGAAUG
rnacentral:lncRNA from 1 species